UGAGCAAUCUGCCCUUCUCAUCGGAAUAAGCGUUGGAAACGACGUCUAAUGCCGAAUACGACCUCCUUUCGCAUGAUCGGAGGUGGAAAGCUCCGGCGGAGAAGGAUGAGCUCGCGGCCUAUCAGCUAGUUGGUGUGGGUAAUGGCCCACAAGGCGACGACGGGUAGCCGGCCUGAGAGGGUGACCGGCCACACGUGGGACUGAGACACGGCCAGACUCCUACGGGAGCA
rnacentral:rRNA from 1 species